rnacentral:tRNA from 11 species
GGGCCCAUAGCUCAGCUGGUUAGAGCAGUCGACUCAUAAUCGAUUGGUCGUAGGUUCAAGUCCUACUGGGCCCACCA